UCACACUCGGCGAGGACAAGUUCCUCCAAAGGAAAUAGACCCCUCGUGGGAAACGAAGACGAGAAGAGACCACGUCCAGUUCUCGUUUCUGACCCCUGUCAGUGGGUGCUUCGACGUCAUCACGCAGGACGGGAAUCUCAUCUCCAUGCUGACGUCAUCACGCAGGACGGGAAUCUCAUCUCCAUGCUUGACAUCAUCAUGCAGGACGGGCAUCGCAUCUCCGAGCUUGACGUCAUCACGUCGUACCACGCAGGACGGGAAUCUCAUCUCCGUGCUUGACGUCAUCACGCAGGACGGGCCUCCAUCCCCAGAAUGGCACCACCCAGAAGGCCAGUAGCUCACACCAGGCGUGGAACCACCCUGUGACCCAGAACUGAUCCUGAAAAACUCAAGUCCUCUUGCUGCAGUGACCCCCUGCACACACCCAGGUUCCCAGCGGCACAGUUCACAGUAGCCAGACUACGGAACCAGCUCAGGGGUCCGUCAGUGGACAUCCAUUUCUGUCAAGAAAUGUGGUCUCUCUGCACUCUGGAGUACUACUCGGCCGUGAAAAAGAAUGAAACGAUGGCGUUUGCAGGAAAACAGAUGGAACUAGAGACCACGAGGCUAAGAGAAAUAAGUCCAUCUCAGAAGGUCCAGGGCGGGCAGCUCGGAACAGGCAGGAAACCCAAGCAGCCAUCAGGCUCCGGCCUGUGCUCUCGGGUAGAACCCUGGGGAACAACAGGGAUGGCGUCUGGCCCGCAGCCCGGAUUCCACCUUCUCCAGAACCAGCUACAAAUCCUGCGUCAACGAGGAAAUGCGCUCUGGGGCCGGCAGCUCGCGGGAAAUCCGGGGCUGCGCUGCGGGGGGCGAUCCGUCCGGUUAGCAGAGCAGUGCAUGAGGAUGUCACCCCGAGGAGGACCUGGCAAAGCCGGCGCCGAGUGGCAGGUGCUUCCAAGCCCCAAAGGAGCCCCGGUCCUAGAGCCCGGGACACCGCCCUGAGCGCAACGCAUGCACCCCGCGAGGCCCGAGCUGCGCAGCAAGGGGCCUGUCCUCCCCGGAGCUAGGGAGGCUGAGGCA